rnacentral:rRNA from 1 species
ACAGCAGCCGCCACGGUAAAACGUAGGUGGCAAGCGUUGUCCGGAAUUAUUGGGCGUAAAGGGCUCGCAGGCGGUUUCUUAAGUCUGAUGUGAAAGCCCCCGGCUCAACCGGGGAGGGUCAUUGGAAAUUGGGAAACUUGAGUGCAGAAGAGGAGAGUGGAAUUCCACGUGUAGCGGUGAAAUGCGUAGAGAUGUGGAGGAACACCAGUGGCGAAGGCGACUCUCUGGUCUGUAACUGACGCUGAGGAGCGAAAGCGUGGGGAGCGAACAGGAUUAGAUACCCCCGUAGUCCCUGUCUCUUAUAC